rnacentral:rRNA from 1 species
GACGAACGCUGGCGGCGUGCCUAACACAUGCAAGUCGAGCGCACCCUUCAGGAUCUUCGGCGGCCGGGUGUAUAACGCGUGGGGACAUUCACUUUUCUACGACCUAGCUUCAGGAAUGUGAGAAUAUUACCGAAUACGCCCUUUGGGCGAAUGAUAUAUGGAACCAGGAUGGGCGCGCGUUGGAUUAGGUAGUUGGUUCGGUAAUAGCCUACCAAGCCGCCGAUUCGUAGCUGGUUUGAGAGGAUGAUCAGCCACACUUGGAGUGAGACACGGCCCAGAAUCCUACGGGAGGGAGGAGUGGGGAAUCGUAGACAACGGGGGCAAUGCUGAUCUAACCAGGCCGGGUGAGUGAUGUAGGUCUGAGGGUUGUAAAGUGCUAUCAGCUGUGAAGAUAAUGACGGUACCAACAGAAGAAGCCCCGGCUAACUCCGUG